AAUUCUGGGAGGACGCGUCGAUGGUUGCCGAUGGCAGAAUAAAAUUUUGCACUCUUCGUUGAAUAUAUAUUUUCGAUUGUAUUAAUAAUUCAAUUGUAAUGUGCAAACAAACAAAUUUAAAUUGUACGCUGUAUUCCUGGACAUUGAAGUUUAAGAUGGCGCGUCAAACAUCGGGAAAUUUGCCCAUCAAGGCUGGUGGCCGCCUUCAGAUUUCUCUCUGGCGAUAUACUCGUCGUGAUCUGGUUAGAUUCUAACCUACGUUUUGUUUGCCAGUUCGACCUCAAGUAGACAAAUCAGGUUCGUACUAAAAGCGACCAAAGCUCAACGUGUCCAUCGGGCCCAUAAAAGCCUUCCUGUCCCCGCGCCUCUAAAGCCCUCACGUGGCACAGUUGGGCGCUGGGCCAGGCUGUGCAACGCUAGACCGUGUUGCUCUGGCAUCUCUCAACUCCGCUUAUACCGACUCGGAGGGCGAGGACGGGGUGGAAGACGAGCGCCUGCAGGAGGAGAAUUCGAACACUCCCCAGGGGGCCGCCCCGCAUAAUGCCCAAGUCGGUCGUCAGCCCCAGGCCCGAUCUGCCACCAGUCCCAUAUCUGGAGGCCGUUCAGCCUCGCACAG
rnacentral:misc_RNA from 1 species